rnacentral:rRNA from 1 species
AACGAACGCUGGCGGCGUGGAUAAGACAUGCAAGUCGAACGCUCGUUCCGGGGUAGCAAUAUUCCGGAGCGGGAGUGGCGCAAGGGUGCGUAACACGUGGGUCAUUUGCCGUGAAGCUGGGAACAACUCGUUGAAAGACGAGCUAAUACCCAAUGUGCUCCGCAAGGAGUAAAGCCGGGGACCGCAAGGCCUGGCACUUUACGAUAAGCCCGCGGCCUAUCAGCUAGUUGGCGGGGUAAAAGCCCACCAAGGCUAAGACGGGUAGCUGGUCUGAGAGGACGACCAGCCACACUGGAACUGAGACACGGUCCAGACACCUACGGGUGGCAGCAGUGGGGAAUAUUGCGCAAUGGGGGAAACCCUGAAGGAGCGACGCCGCGUGGGGGAUGAAUGGCUUCGGCCCGUAAACCCCUGUCAUUUGCGAUCAAACCUCGCGACCUAACACGUCGUGAGCUGAUAGUAGCGGAAGAGGAAGGGACGGCUAACUCUGUGCCAGCAGCCGCGGU